GUUUAAAUAGUUUAAUAAAAAUUUUGAUUUGUGGUGUCAAAGAUGUAAUAUUUACUUUAAACC
rnacentral:tRNA from 1 species